UGUAGUCUCGCACAGAUGCAUAUCAAUAAGCGGAGGAAAAGAAACUAACAAGGAUUCCCUUAGUAACGGCGAGUGAAGCGGGAAGAGCUCAAAUUUGAAGUCUUCAAGGUUUUACCUUGACGAAUUGUAGUUUAAAGAAGUGUUUUCUGUUACGAUCGUAAUAUAAGUUCUUUGGAAUAGGACAUCACAGAGGGUGAGAAUCCCGUCUAUGAUUGCGAUUUGUAGCUUUGUGAUACACUUUCAAAGAGUCGGGUUGUUUGGGAAUGCAGCCCGAAACGGGAGGUAAAUUUCUUCUAAGGCUAAAUAUUGGCGAGAGACCGAUAGCGAACAAGUACCGUGAGGGAAAGAUGAAAAGAACUUUGAAAGGAGAGUUAAACAGUACGUGAAAUUGUCAAAAGGGAAGCGUUUGACACCAGUGUUGUUUUCUCGAAAAUCAAUUAAAAAGAGUUAGAUUUUGUUGUGUAUUGACCUUAACAGCUUGCAUUUCAAUUUUCUUGCUUUUUUUAAUGCACUUUUCGUUUAACGAGUCAACAUCAGUUUCUUUUGUUGUAAAAAGGUCAUUGGAAGGUGGCUUUCUUUUCGGAGAAAGUGUUUAUAGCCUUUGACUCCUGCAAUCGGAGAGACUGAGGUCUGCAGCGUAGAUCCUUCGGGGUUAGAUACAUUUGUGCUAAGUUAUAGCUUUUUAUAGACAACUUGUUGACUAUGAUUAGUCUUGUAGCUUACUCGCUUAUGCUAUUUUACCUACGCUUAGGAUGUUGAAGAUGUAGCACAUCAU
rnacentral:rRNA from 1 species